rnacentral:rRNA from 1 species
GACGAACGCUGGCGGCGUGCCUAAUACAUGCAAGUCGAGCGGACGAAUCGAAAGCUUGCUUUUGAUUCGUUAGCGGCGGACGGGUGAGUAACACGUGGGCAACCUGCCCUGUAGACGGGGAUAACACCGAGAAAUCGGUGCUAAUACCGGAUAACACGAAAUGUCGCAUGACGUUUCGUUGAAAGACAGCGCAAGCUGUCGCUACAGGAUGGGCCCGCGGCGCAUUAGCUAGUUGGUGAGGUAACGGCUCACCAAGGCGACGAUGCGUAGCCGACCUGAGAGGGUGAUCGGCCACACCGGGACUGAGACACGGCCCAGACUCCUACGGGAGGCAGCAGUAGGGAAUCUUCCGCAAUGGACGAAAGUCUGACGGAGCAACGCCGCGUGAGCGAAGAAGGCCUUCGGGUCGUAAAGCUCUGUUGUUAGGGAAGAACAAGUAACGCAGUAACUGGCGUUACCGUGACGGUACCUAACGAGAAAGCCACGGCUAACUACGUG